rnacentral:rRNA from 1 species
UACGAAGGGGGCUAGCGUUGCUCGGAAUCACUGGGCGUAAAGGGUGCGUAGGCGGCGCGGUAAGUCGGGUGUGAAAUCUCGGGGCUUAACUCCGAAACUGCAUUCGAUACUGCCGUGCUUGAGGACUGGAGAGGAGACUGGAAUUUACGGUGUAGCGGUGAAAUGCGUAGAUAUCAGGAGGAACACCGGUGGCGAAGGCGGUUCUCUGGGCAUGUCCUGACGCUGAGGAGCGAAAGUGUGGGGAGCGAACAGG